rnacentral:tmRNA from 1 species
GGGGGCGAUCGGUAUCGACGGGGCCUAGGAGGGCUUGAAGUGGCGCGAAGAGGUUGUCGGCCACCUCUUAAAACUGCCGGCACAAGUAAAAUGCCAAUCCUAACAUGGCAAUGGCUGCCUAAAUAAGGUAGCCACGUCCGCCCGGGUUCGCCCGUGGGUCUGGAACGGACGUCAACACACGGGCUGGCCGGCACGAGCGUCGGGCGCGUCGCCGGCGAGAAAACAGCCUGGCUGGGCUUGCGGGGAUCCUGUCGGUCGGAGCCUUGCGGGCCGAGAUUCAAUAGACCGACUACUCGCGUAGAGGCUUCAGGUCCCGGGCAUCCGGACGUGGGUUCGAUUCCCACCGCCUCCACCA